GUAGUCCCUAGCCCUUUAAUAGGGGGCCAAUGAAAGGAUUGACGGGCUCACAUUGUCUCGCCCUUACUCAAUAUAAUUUAGUUUUUAGAUGAAGAAGUCUAAAUUUUAAAGAAAGACGAAAAGACCCUAUCAAACUUUAAUAAUAUUUUAUUUUAGCGCUCUGUGUGAUUUUAAUAAAGUUUUAUUUUAGUUGGGGCAACU
rnacentral:rRNA from 1 species